rnacentral:rRNA from 1 species
UCCGUAGGCGGGCAAUUAAGUCAGAGGUGAAAUCCCACAGCUCAACUGUGGAACUGCCUUUGAUACUGGUUGUCUUGAGUUACAGUGAAGUAGAUAGAAUAUGUAGUGUAGCGGUGAAAUGCAUAGAUAUUACAAAGAAUACCGAUUGCGAAGGCAGUCUACUAACUGUAUACUGACGCUAAUGGACGAAAGCGUGGGGAGCGAACAGGAUUAGAUACCCUGGUAGUCC